AGAAUGAAUGCAGCUUCGUCAGCUUGAGGGACGUCGAAAGAGCGAUGAGAGUUAUUACAUGGUUUUAUUCCAACUCUAAAUUAAUCAUCAGAGUUAUUGGAGAUGAAAGUAAUGUCGGAGAUGUCAGUCCUGAAGAUUCUAGUGAAGACGAAAGUGAUGAUGAAACUGACGAACACGAUGAGCAAGUUGAAGAUUCUGGUCCAGGCAGAGGUGAUGAAAUUGACGAAGACGAUGAGCAAGUUGAAGAUUUUGGUGAAGACGAAAGUGAUGAAAUUGACGAAGACGAUGAGCAAGUUGAAGAUUCUAGUGAAGACGAAAGUGAUGAAACUGACAAAGACGAUGAGCAAGUUGAAAUG